CCUGCACAAAUGUGACUUGCUUUUUCUCCCUAGAGUAAAUUAAUUCCAUUGGACGUUCUUUUGUGUCAACAACCUUUUCGAAAUAAUCAACUUCUUUGAUUCAGCAAAUAGCGUCCACGCUGAUGAACUCAACAUCCUCACAACAAACCUGAUUACCAACCUCAGCACUCUAUUCAAGGCAUCCAACUGCAGUUUCGAAGAAUUCGUAAAGUUUUCUCCUGAAAACUAUCCCAAACAACCUAACUUGCAUGACUGCGCUAUCUAUGGCAUGCUAUACAUGGAUUGUUGGAAUGGAAAAGACAUGAAGGAGUUUGAACAAGAAAUCGUUCCCCAAUUCCGUAAGCUCAUUGCAUACAAGAUAGGAAACUUCAAUCAGAACAAGUUCCAGUUCGAGAAGAUGAAUGCCGAUGUCACAAAGAAGAGGAGAACCCGCCGUUAGGUUU